AUAUUAUACGCUUAGGAAGCAGCAUAUAGGAAGCAGACACAGAUACUUCUGCUCAGAGCUUCACCAAAGGGUCCAACUUCCUUUGCUUUAGAAUAUUGAACGUUUUACCUGGGAAAAACAUGGCAUCCAUCUGAUUCAGAUGUAAUGAAAUACAUAAGAGUAGGAGAGUGUAUCGGUUGUUUCAGAGGGUUUAGCUAAUAGAAUUAUCAGGGCAGAUGCGAACCUGAUGGCAAUUCAGGGAUUUUGGGCAGAAGCGAACCUGACAGCAAUUCAGGGAUUUUGGGCUGCACAGCAGGGAACCUGACGACAUUGUGACGACAUUGCCGCACUCUCCUAGACAGGGAACCUACAAAGAAUUUUUUUUGUACACCGCGGGCGACGUAGAAAACA
rnacentral:lncRNA from 1 species